GCUAGAAAAGGUGACACAUUAAGCAUCUACCUAACUUUAUUAAUAUAAUAAUGGAAGAACAACAAUGCCACAAUAUCAAUAUCGGUCCCCACAAAUAUGUGCAAUGGAAGUACGAUGACUACUAACACAUCCUUCGGCUCAAGUCGAUGGGCUCAACCUGUUAUCACAUUAUCUCGUUCCUCCACCCGCCCAUGGCGAGCAUCGUCAUCUGAUCAUCCCUCCUUGUCUAUUAGCAUUAUAUGAUGCACCAUGCCACCCAUGGAAAAAGAUAAUGCCAAUGAUAAAUCACAAGUCAGAAAAAAUGAUGUUGUAACAUUCUAAACCACUUUGCAUGAUUUGCAAACAAAAACAAGUACCUUGCCGAGAAUGUCGUUU
rnacentral:lncRNA from 1 species